AUGGACACAGUCCAAGAAUUUAACGAUCCCAAUUGACAUUUCUUGGAUUGCCGACGCCUUCAGGCUAGGCCUUGGCCUGAAUAUUGGUGUAGCAAAUCACGAAAUUACUCCAUUGCAUCUAAAUUCAGAAGACUGCGACCAGCCACGUCCACUGGAGUGCAAAUAUUGCCUGCGCUUUACGAGUCCUACGGGGAACUCCCCACAGGGUGUUUGAAAAGUGCAGCAUCAGAAAAACAUGGAAAAAGGGUAAAGGCUCAAACCCUGUAGAACGAAAUUCGAGGAUCGCGAAUGUUUCCGUGGAGACGCGCCUACAUUUUUGGUUUGUAAACAAAUAAAAAGAACGCAGAAUGGCGCUGUGUGCCGAUCGAUUAAAGUCUGCAAGCUUCGUGAGAGUGCAAAAUAAAACCGCUGUCACUUAUUUUCAAAACGCACGAGUCGGACUUCAUUUCAGUGACUAACGGGUACAACUGUAUCGAAAAUAAUUCAAAUCUGAGUUUUCCCUUUUAUACGCGUUUUGUCCGAGUGUUCCGGUUUCUUAACCUUCGUUCCACAAAUCUGAAAGUUUCAAUUACCAACAGUGGUACAUGAUUCAGUGUAUUUAAAUACGAAUCAUCAUUAACCCCGCGUCGAAGCACGGUCAUUGCUACAGGUUGUUACGCAAACCGUCUUCCGAAGAGCAGAACUGAGUAAUUUUGCGCCACGCCAGAGUCCACUCGAAAUUAUUUCUUGGUUCCUUUCACUGUUGAUGCAACAGCCAGUCCCUGGAAGCGAACCAACGAACAUCCGCUGCUCUGUUACGAAACGCAAGGUCGCACGACUCGGCGGCAGUCGCAACACGUUCAAGAUUCUGAACGAGAGUACAGAACUGCGCUGCGAUACAAAUCGAUUCGCGUCGGACUCGACAGCUCGCAGGCAACUAAACCGCUCAGUGAAGUGAAGUUUCAUGCCGAGUCAUCGCUGUGAAUCCAUCAGCCGUGAAAUGGAAGUCGACAGCAACGAAAAUUUGGUCAAGCGAUGAAUAGAAAAUGUUCCCAGCCCCGUUACUGGCUUCACACGCCCGUGUGAAUUCCUAGCUUUCAGCUGUUUCUCACGAUGGACGACCUUAAAAAACCAAGACAAAAUACGAGUUUCAUACCCCAGUCUGUCACAGAAACGAGCAAAGGUUUCUCUGUGCCACUGAUAUACAAAUCGGGACCUGUUGGUACUCAAUUUAUACGAUCCUGUUUGCUAAGAAGAAGAAAUCACGUAACACAAGGAAGUAAUUUGCUUUAUCAAUAUAAACACAGAAAUGUGCAUUUUAAACUUUAAUUGGGUGUGCAACGUCUUCCUUCUGUAUUAAAACUUUAAUAAUAGGCCUCCUCCUAGUUUUAGUUUAACUCUAUGUUGUUUUCAUAAAAUAAAAACAUUUUAAU